rnacentral:rRNA from 1 species
AUACAGAGGGUGCGAGCGUUAAUCGGAAUUACUGGGCGUAAAGCGCGCGUAGGCGGCUUAUUAAGUCAGAUGUGAAAUCCCCGGGCUCAACCUGGGAACUGCAUCUGAUACUGGUAAGCUAGAGUUUAGGAGAGGGAAGUAGAAUUUCAGGUGUAGCGGUGAAAUGCAUAGAUAUCUGAAGGAAUACCAGUGGCGAAGGCGGCUUCCUGGCCUAAAACUGACGCUGAGGUGCGAAAGCGUGGGUAGCAAACGGGAUUAGAAACCCGAGUAGUCC